GAAAAACGUGUGCGCCUCACACCAACAGGGUUUUGACGGAAAAAUAGCCAAAUUUGACCGGACAUGUUCAUGCGUUCAUAUGUUCGAAGUUUUACUUCCGAUCAGGUUGCGGAGAUUACCAGGGCUUGAACCAAAGGCCAUAAUGGGAUCUUGGAACAACUCAAGCCCUUACCACGCAGGAAUCCCUUGAGUUUAAUACGAGAAUUUCCCCAAGGGCGAUGCCUUAAUGUCAUGGGCACCCAUAAUGAUUUAAACUCACAGAACAACCAGGCGUUUUAGAGGUUGUCUAAAGCAGUAAUAACAAGCUACAUUCUGGAGAAUGAGGAGCAGCAAGGCUUCACUAGAAUAUCAAAUUCUCCCUCUGGAGAUCGGUUUGUAGCCUAAAUAAUGUGCGUUUUGUGUAUAUUGGCAUUAUACUGUAUAGUCAUGUCACACACACACAUAUGUAUAUCUAUUUAUCAUUAUAUGUCUGAUUGUGCCUGUUAGCAAUUUACGAUUAAGCGAAUGUUUUGCCUUUGUACUUCGUUUAAUGUUUUCUAUACCAUUGAACUUGUCUUUUUGGUUAAUUUUAGGCUAAAAUAUAGAAAAUAUUCAUGAAUUUUGUAUUUUGUUUCAAAAUUACUCAUAAAUUUUUAAAAGUUUCAUUAUUAUCCUUUAUUAAGGGUUGCCCUAGGCAAGGUCUAAAGCCCAUUGGACGGAACCAAGUCCUAGAAAACAGAAUGUUACAUAGGAGUCUGCACCAUAUAAAAGGAAAAGUCAACCCCUUGGUUCUAAGUCGACCAAUCGAGCUCGUGAAAUUUUAUCAAAGGGAAAUAAUCGAGCCAAGCUCACCACUGACACUCUGUAACCUCGAGGGUCACACCUACUUUGACACUUAUCAACGUUACACGUUAAGUUGUUUCAAUCUACAAGUUAUAGUUUUGGUAUAUUGCUUCAUAGAUAUAGGUUCUCAAAGGGACGAGUUCAAGGUGGGCUACGUUAUUCUUGUGGAGGGAGGAGCAUAAUGAGCGAGAUCUGAUUAGGAUUACUUCAUACGGGAUUGAUAGGUGUAAUUUUUUUUUUUUUUAAUUAUUAUUAGAGGGGAUGGGUUGUUGAUUGUACAAUAGAAAAUGUGUUCAUACGGCGGUUGAUAGUUUUUAUACUUUUGAAAUUGUUCAUAUGGGGUUGACCAUAUUCUUUUAACUUAGAAAUACUUUAUGAGGUUGUAAUAUUGAUAAUA